GAUGAACGCUAGCUACAGGCUUAACACAUGCAAGUCGCGGGGCAGCAUGGGGGUUGCUUGCAACCCCUGAUGGCGACCGGCGCACGGGUGAGUAACGCGUAUCCAACCUGCCCUUCACCACGGGAUAACCCGGCGAAAGUCGGACUAAUACCGUAUGUUGUCCAUUGACGGCAUCCGAUUUGGACGAAAGGCUUAGCGGUGAGGGAUGGGGAUGCGUCCGAUUAGCUUGACGGCGGGGUAACGGCCCACUGUGGCAACGAUCGGUAGGGGUUCUGAGAGGAAGGUCCCCCACACUGGAACUGAGACACGGUCCAGACUCCUACGGGAGGCAGCAGUGAGGAAUAUUGGUCAAUGGGCGGAAGCCUGAACCAGCCAAGUAGCGUGCAGGAUGACGGCCCUAUGGGUUGUAAACUGCUUUUAUGCGGGGAUAAAGGAGCCCACGUGUGGGUUUUUGCAGGUACC
rnacentral:rRNA from 1 species